CUCAGAUUAAACGCUGGCGGCAGGCCUAACACAUGCAAGUCGAGCGGUAGCACAAGAGAGCUUGCUCUCUGGGUGACGAGCGGCGGACGGGUGAGUAAUGUUUGGGAAACUGCCUGAUGGUGGGGGAUAACUAGUGGAAACGGUAGCUAAUACCGCAUAAUGUCGCAAGACCAAAGUGGGGGACCUUCGGGCCUCACGCCAUCAGAUGUGCCCAGAUGGGAUUAGCUGUUAGGUGGGGUAAUGGCUCACCUAGGCGACGAUCCCUAGCUGGUCUGAGAGGAUGACCAGCCACACUGGAACUGAGACACGGUCCAGACUCCUACGGGAGGCAGCAGUGGGGAAUAUUGCACAAUGGGCGCAAGCCUGAUGCAGCCAUGCCGCGUGUGUGAAGAAGGCCUUCGGGUUGUAAAGCACUUUCAGCGAGGAGGAAGGGUAAUGU
rnacentral:rRNA from 1 species